rnacentral:rRNA from 1 species
GAUGAACGCUGGCGGCGUGCCUAAUACAUGCAAGUAGAACGCUGAAGGAGGAGCUUGCUCUUCUGGAUGAGUUGCGAACGGGUGAGUAACGCGUAGGUAACCUGCCUGGUAGCGGGGGAUAACUAUUGGAAACGAUAGCUAAUACCGCAUGACAACAGUUAUUGCAUGAUAACUGUUUAAAAGGGGCAACUGCUCCACUACCAGAUGGACCUGCGUUGUAUUAGCUAGUUGGUGAGGUAACGGCUCACCAAGGCGACGAUACAUAGCCGACCUGAGAGGGGGGUCGGCCACACUGGGACUGCGACACGGCCCAGACUCCUACGGGAGGCAGCAGUAGGGAAUCUUCGGCAAUGGACGGAAGUCUGACCGAGCAACGCCGCGUGAGUGAAGAAGGUUUUCGGAUCGUAAAGCUCUGUUGUAAGAGAAGAACGAGUGUGAGAGUGGAAAGUUCACACUGUGACGGUAUCUUACCAGAAAGGGACGGCUAACUACGUG